GACGAACGCUGGCGGCGCGCCUCAUACAUGCAAGUCGAACGUGAAGCCCGGAGCUUGCUCCGGGUGGAAAGUGGCGAACGGGUGAGGAACACGUGAGGAACCUGCCCCGAAGACCGGGAUAACACCGGGAAACCGGUGCUAAUACCGGAUGCCCUCAUCGGAUCUCAUGGUCCGAUGAGGAAAUGGAUUCCGCUUCGGGAUGGCCUCGCGGCCUAUCAGCUUGUUGGUGGGGUAACGGCCCACCAAGGCUUCGACGGGUAGCUGGUCUGAGAGGAUGUCCAGCCACACUGGGACUGAGACACGGCCCAGACUUCUACGGGAGGCAGCAGUAGGGAAUCUUGCGCAAUGGGCGAAAGCCUGACGCAGCGACGCCGCGUGCGGGAUGAAGGCCCUCGGGUCGUAAACCGCUUUCAGCAGGGACGAAAUUGACGGUACCUGCAGAAGAAGCCCCGGCCAACUACGUGCCAGCCGCCGCGGUAA
rnacentral:rRNA from 1 species